UACGUAGGGUGCGAGCGUUGUCCGGAAUUAUUGGGCGUAAAGAGCUUGUAGGCGGUUUUGUCGCGUCUGCUGUGAAAAUCCGGGGCUCAACCCCGGACUUGCAGUGGGUACGGGCAGACUAGAGUGUGGUAGGGGAGACUGGAAUUCCUGGUGUAGCGGUGGAAUGCGCAGAUAUCGGAAGGAAACAUCAGUGGCGAAAAGCGGCUUCCUG
rnacentral:rRNA from 1 species